rnacentral:tRNA from 1 species
AAGGAUUUAAGUUAACUAAACUAUUAGUCUUCAAAGCUAAAAAUAGAGUAUAUUCCUAAGCCUUA